rnacentral:rRNA from 1 species
GUCUACAGCCAUACCACCCUGAACACGCCCGAUCUCGUCUGAUCUCAGAAACUAAGCAUGGUCGGGCCUGGUUAGUACUUGGAUGGGAGACCACCUGGGAAUACCGGGUGCUGUAGGUU